rnacentral:rRNA from 1 species
CGGGGUUGCGGACAGUGUCUGGUGGGUAGUUUGACUGGGGCGGUCUCCUCCCAAAGCGUAACGGAGGAGCACGAAGGUUAGCUAAUCCUGGUCGGACAUCAGGAGGUUAGUGCAAUGGCAUAAGCUAGCUUGACUGCGAGCGUGACGGCGCGAGCAGGUGCGAAAGCAGGUCAUAGUGAUCCGGUGGUUCUGAAUGGAAGGGCCAUCGCUCAACGGAUAAAAGGUACUCCGGGGAUAACAGGCUGAUACCGCCCAAGAGUUCAUAUCGACGGCGGUGUUUGGCACCUCGAUGUCGGCUCAUCACAUCCUGGGGCUGAAGUAGGUCCCAAGGGUAUGGCUGUUCGCCAUUUAAAGUGGUACGCGAGCUGGGUUUAGAACGUCGUGAGACAGUUCGGUCCCUAUCUGCCGUGGGCGCUGGAGAAUUGAGGGGGGCUGCUCCUAGUACGAGAGGACCGGAGUGGACGCAUCACUGGUGUUCGGGUUGUCAUGCCAAUGGCACUGCCCGGUAGCUAAAUGCGGAAGAGAUAAGUGCUGAAAGCAUCUAAGCACGAAACUUGCCCCGAGAUGAGUUCUCCCUGAGACUUUAAGUCUCCUGAAGGAACGUUGAAGACGACGACGUUGAUAGGCCGGGUGU